CAUCUCCUUAAUCGGAGAGUUCCCUUCGGGGACAUUGGUGACAGGUGGUGCAUGGUUGUCGUCAGCUCGUGUCGUGCGAUGUUGGGUUAAGUCCCGCAACGAGCGCAACCCUUGUCUUUAGGUGCCAUCAUUAAGUUGGGCACUCUAAAGAGACUGCCAGGGAUAAACUGGAGGAAGGUGGGGAUGACGUCAAAUCAUCAUGCC
rnacentral:rRNA from 1 species